AAUUUGAGCUUCAGUACCAGCACACUCGUCAGAAAUAUGAAGUCACUGUGUUGAGAAAUCGAGUGAGCGACCAUCAAAAGAACACCAAGGGCAGCAGAAGCAAGAGAGGUUUGAGGAAGUAGGCAUGUUCAUCCUGGGCCUGGGCCUGUGGCUGUGGCUGGACAGAUCGCCUCUCUCCAGAAGACCUCUCAGCUGCAGCAUCUUCACCAGACAUGUACCUGACUGACAAAUGGAAUGUUUUUCUGAGGGAAUAUUAAGGAAGUACUUAAGCCUUAGACUUGGUUUGUUACUUAAAAAAAACAUUUAUGUUUGUUAUUAAAAUAAUUGAUAAAAGUA